AGAGUUUGAUCCUGGCUCAUAUUGACCGCUGGCGGCAGGCUUAACACAUGCAACUCGAGCGGAGAUGAGGUGCUUGCACCUUAUCUUAGCGGCGGACGGGUGAGUAAUGCUUAGGAAUCUGCCUAUUAUUGGGGGACAACAUUCCGAAAGGGAUGCUAAUACCGCAUACGUCCUACGGGAGAAAGCAGGGGAUCUUCGGACCUUGCGCUAAUAGAUGAGCCUAAGUCGGAUUAGCUAGUUGGUGGGGUAAAGGCCUACCAAGGCGACGAUCUGUAGCGGGUCUGAGAGGAUGAUCCGCCACACUGGGACUGAGACACGGCCCACACUCCUACGGGAGGCAGCAGUGGGGAAUAUUGGACAAUGGGGGGAACCCUGAUCCAGCCAUGCCGCGUGUGUGAAGAAGGCCUUAUGGUUGUAAAGCACUUUAAGCGAGGAGGAGGCUACUGAGACUAAUACUCUUGGAUAGUGGACGUUACUCGCAGAAUAAGCACCGGCUAACUCUGUGCCAGCAGCCGCGGUAAUACAGAGGGUGCGAGCGUUAAUCGGAUUUACUGGGCGUAAAGCGUGCGUAGGCGGCUUUCUAAGUCGGAUGUGAAAUCCCCGAACUUAACUUGGGAAUCGCAUUCGAUACUGGGAAGCUAGAGUAUGGGAGAGGAUGGUAGAAUUCCAGGUGUAGCGGUGAAAUGCGUAGAGAUCUGGAGGAAUACCGAUGGCGAAAGCACCCAUCUGGCCUAAUACUGACGCUGAGGUAUGAAAGCAUGGGGAGCAAACAGGAUUAAAACCCCUGGUAGUCCAUGCCGUAACCAUGUCUACUUAGCCGUUGGGAGCUUU
rnacentral:rRNA from 1 species